rnacentral:rRNA from 1 species
UGGGGAAUCUUCCGCAAUGGGCGCAAGCCUGACGGAGCAACGCCGCGUGAGUGAAGAAGGGUUUCGACUCGUAAAGCUCUGUUGUCGGGGACGAAUGUCAGGACUCAGAAUAUGGGUUCUGAAUGACGGUACCUGACGAGGAAGCCACGGCUAACUACGUGCCAGCAGCCGCGGUAAUACGUAGGUGGCGAGCGUUGUCCGGAAUUAUUGGGCGUAAAGGGAGCGCAGGCGGGAAGGUAAGUCUAUCUUAAAAGUGCGGGGCUCAACCCCGUGAUGGGAAGGAAACUGGUAUUCUUGAGUGCAGGAGAGGAAAGCGGAAUUCCUAGUGUAGCGGUGAAAUG